rnacentral:tRNA from 1 species
GCGCCCGUAGCUCAGUGGAUAGAGCGCUUGGCUUCGGACCAAGAGGUCGGGGGUUCAAAUCCCUCCGGGCGUACCA